rnacentral:rRNA from 1 species
ACAGCAGUCGCCGCGGUAAUACGAAGAGUGCAAACGUUGCUCGGAAUUAUUGGGCGUAAAGCGCACGUAGGCGGCUCCGCAAGUCGGAUGUGAAAUCCCUCGGCUUAACCAAGGAAGUGCAUCCGAAGCUGCAGAGCUUGAGUACUUAAGAGGAUCGCGGAAUUCCCGGUGUAGAGGUGAAAUUCGUAGAUAUCGGGAGGAACACCAGUGGCGAAGGCGGCGAUCUGGGAAGAUACUGGCGCUGAGGUGUGAAAGCGUGGGGAGCAAACAGGAUUAGAUACCCCAGUAGUCCCUGUCUCUUAUAC